GGCCUGACCGGGCGGUCCGUCUUUGGCGAGUACUGUCCUGUGUCGGGUCCACCUUCUGGUGAACCAGUAUGUCCUUUAUUGGGUGUGCCGGGGAGCCAGGACCAUUACCUUGAAAAAAUUAGAGUGUUUAAAGCAGGCAUUUGCUUGAAUAGAUUAGCAUGGAAUAAUAGAAUAGGACGUUGUGGUUCUAUUUUGUUGGUUUCUAGGACCACCGUAAUGAUUAAUAGGGAUAGUUGGG
rnacentral:rRNA from 1 species